rnacentral:snRNA from 1 species
AUUCUUACCUGGCAGGGGAGAUCCCAUGAUCGUGAAGGUGGUUUUGCCAGGGUGAGGCUCAUCCAUGGUACUCCAGGUGUGCUGACCCCAAAUGCGGGAAACUCAGCUGCACAGUUUGUGGUAGUGGGGUACUGUGUUCAUGCUUUCCCCUG